rnacentral:rRNA from 1 species
GGUGUGUACUGGUCUUGAUGGAAGCUUACCUCUUGGUGGGUCGGCAUGCCCUUCGUUGGGUGUGUCGAUUAACCAGGACUUUUACUUUGAGAAAAUUAGAGUGUUCAAAGCAGGCUUUCGCCCGAAUACAUUUAGCAUGGAUAUAGAAUUAGGACGCGCCGUCUUUAUUUUGUUGUUUCUAAUCGCGUAAUGAUAUAGGGAUAGUCGGGGGCAUUCGUAUUGCUUGGUCAGAGGUGAAAUUCUUGGAUUCUAGCAAGACGAACUACUGCGAAAGCAUUUGCCAAGGAUGUUUUCAUUGAUCAAGAACGAAGGUUAGGGGAUCGAAAACGAUCAGAUACCGUUGUAGUCUUAACAGUAAACUAUGCCGACUAGGGAUCGGACAAGCACAAUCUAUGACUUGUUCGGCACCUGAAGAGAAAUCUUUAAGUCUAGGUUCGGGGGGGAGUAUGGUCGCAAGGCUGAAACUUAAAGGAAUUGACGGAAGGGCACCACCAGGUGUGGAGCCUGCGGCUUAAUUUGACUCAACACGGGGAAACUCACCAGGUCCAGACACAAUAAGGAUUGACAGAUUGAUAGCUCUUUCUUGAUCUUGUGGUUGGUGGUGCAUGGCCGUUCUUAGUUGGUGGAGUGAUUUGUCUGGUUAAUUCCGAUAACGAACGAGACCUUAACCUGCUAAAUAGACCCGGGGCCUUAGGGAACCGGCUGUCUUCUUAGAGGGACUGUAGG